rnacentral:rRNA from 1 species
GGGUGAGUCGACCCCUAAGGCGAGGCCGAAAGGCGUAGUCGAUGGGAAACAGGUUAAUAUUCCUGUACUUGGUGUUACUGCGAAGGGGGGACGGAGAAGGCUAUGUUGGCCGGGCGACGGUUGUCCCGGUUUAAGCGUGUAGGCUGGUUUUCCAGGCAAAUCCGGAAAAUCAAGGCUGAGGCGUGAUGACGAGGCACUACGGUGCUGAAGCAACAAAUGCCCUGCUUCCAGGAAAAGCCUCUAAGCAUCAGGUAACAUCAAAUCGUACCCCAAACCGACACAGGUGGUCAGGUAGAGAAUACCAAGGCGCUUGAGAGAACUCGGGUGAAGGAACUAGGCAAAAUGGUGCCGUAACUUCGGGAGAAGGCACGCUGAUAUGUAGGUGAAGUCCCUUGCGGAUGGAGCUGAAAUCAGUCGAAGAUACCAGCUGGCUGCAACUGUUUAUUAAAAACACAGCACUGUGCAAACACGAAAGUGGACGUAUACGGUGUGACGCCUGCCCGGUGCCGGAAGGUUAAUUGAUGGGGUCAGCGCAAGCGAAGCUCUUGAUCGAAGCCCCGGUAAACGGCGGCCGUAACUAUAACGGUCCUAAGGUAGCGAAAUUCCUUGUCGGGUAAGUUCCGACCUGCACGAAUGGCGUAAUGAUGGCCAGGCUGUCUCCACCCGAGACUCAGUGAAAUUGAACUCGCUGUGAAGAUGCAGUGUACCCGCGGCAAGACGGAAAGACCCCGUGAACCUUUACUAUAGCUUGACACUGAACAUUGAGCCUUGAUGUGUAGGAUAGGUGGGAGGCUUUGAAGUGUGGACGCCAGUCUGCAUGGAGCCGGCCUUGAAAUACCACCCUUUAAUGUUUGAUGUUCUAACGUGGACCCGUGAUCCGGGUUGCGGACAGUGUCUGGUGGGUAGUUUGACUGGGGCGGUCUCCUCCUAAAGAGUAACGGAGGAGCACGAAGGUUGGCUAAUCCUGGUCGGACAUCAGGAGGUUAGUGCAAUGGCAUAAGCCAGCUUGACUGCGAGCGUGACGGCGCGAGCAGGUGCGAAAGCAGGUCAUAGUGAUCCGGUGGUUCUGAAUGGAAGGGCCAUCGCUCAACGGAUAAAAGGUACUCCGGGGAUAACAGGCUGAUACCGCCCAAGAGUUCAUAUCGACGGCGGUGUUUGGCACCUCGAUGUCGGCUCAUCACAUCCUGGGGCUGAAGUAGGUCCCAAGGGUAUGGCUGUUCGCCAUUUAAAGUGGUACGCGAGCUGGGUUUAGAACGUCGUGAGACAGUUCGGUCCCUAUCUGCCGUGGGCGCUGGAGAACUGAGGGGGGCUGCUCCUAGUACGAGAGGACCGGAGUGGACGCAUCACUGGUGUUCGGGUUGUCAUGCCAAUGGCACUGCCCGGUAGCUAAAUGCGGAAGAGAUAAGUGCUGAAAGCAUCUAAGCACGAAACUUGCCCCGAGAUGAGUUCUCCCUGACCCUUUAAGGGUCCUGAAGGAACGUUGAAGACGACGACGUUGAUAGGCCGGGUGUGUAAGCGCAGCGAUGCGUUGAGCUAACCGGUACUAAUGAACCGUGAGG